UCUUCAGUAGUAUAGUGGUCAGUAUUUCCGCUUGUCAAGCAAUUGACAGCUCGCGGGAGACCGGGGUUCAAUNGGUCAGUAUUUCCGCUUGUCAAGCAAUUGACAGCUCGCGGGAGACCGGGGUUCAAUUCCCCGCUGGAGAG